rnacentral:rRNA from 1 species
UGGCGGCCUUAGCGCGGUGGUCCCACCUGAUCCCAUGCCGAACUCAGAAGUGAAACGCCGUAGCGCCGAUGGUAGU